CCAGCCAGAGCUCUCCUGUAUGAGAUGUCCGACCACUGCUGGGAGGGGCCCUGGUGGUGUAGGCACCCGAGGGAAUCUCCUGGUCUGUAAGUUGCAAAGACUGUGGGAAAAGCAUAGUAUCUGGGCCAGAAUGCGCCAUUCCUCAUGGCACAGUACCUCACAGCUUCCCUUGGCUAGGGGAGGGAGUUCCCCAAUCCCUUGUGCUUCCUGGGUGAUGUGACACCCCACCCUGCUUCAGCUCACCCUCCAUGGGCUACACCCACUGUCUAACCAGUCCCAGUGAGAUGAGCUGGGUACCUCAGUUGGAAAUGCACAAAUCACCCGCCUUCUGCAUUGAUUUCACUGGGAGCUAGCUGCAGACCAGAGCUGUUCCUAUUCGGCCAUCUCGCCAGCCACCGAAUUAGUAAAAUUUUAACACGUGCCUUGAAUUGUAUUCAGCACUUCUACACUCAUUACUGUAUCUUUGAAACACAGUUUGAAACACCAAGCCUCCUCCCAGCAAUGCCAGCAGCUCACUUUGUGACACUGAACCGUACAAUGCUCUUGGCCUUUCCAUCUGCAGAGUGGGCACAGACACCUAUAACUAAUUGAAAGAGAUAAUGUCUAAGAGAGCUGCCAGAUCCAGGAUUCUUUUCUCUUGAGCAAGACAUUUCAAUGACUCUUCUGGACUUGACUUUCUCCUCUGUAAAACAGGUUUACCACCUUUCAUUGAAUUCAACACAGGAUUCAACAAACAUCAGCCAAAAGGCCCAUUUUUGCACAGCCCAUGCGCUAAGACUAUUUCCUCACAUUUUUAAAUGGUUAAAAAAUCAAAAGAAUAACAUUUCAUGCCGCA
rnacentral:lncRNA from 1 species